UUCAUGUGGUCUAUCUAUCUAUCCCUUUACUUUCUUGUAAUCGUGUUUAGUGUUUGUGUUGUAAUCUUGUGUUCUUGUUGUUAUUGUUAAAUCCGAAUCUUGUGCCUUGUGUUCAUCUUGUUCUUCACGUAUUAUUGCUGUUUUGGUGUGAAAUACACCUUGCUCACCUUGUAUUCUUGUUGUAUUUGUGAAUCCGAGAGAGGUCUCCAAUCGGUCCAAGGAUCUUAGUGAUUUGUGGACUGUUUUGGAGUGUUUGUGGACUAUUUUUGAGUGAUUUCGUGUCUUUCCAGUUUUUAUCGUAUCAUUUGGUAUCAAAGCAUUGCUUGAUCUUGUUCCCACAAGAUCAAUCUUGGGCUUGCUAGUGGAAAAAAAAAGUGUUCAAAACUGAAAAAUUUCAGAAAAAAAUAGCAAUCUGUCCGUGUUGUGUUCUUGGCCGAAAAGUGUGUUCUUGUUGUGUCUUGGCUGAGAUUUUUACUUGUAUUUGUUGUCUCUAAGUGUUAGUUUUGUUCCUCACUAACACAUUGAGUCUAUAUCUAGAUUUGAGCUUUAAAAAUUGACGUUGUUGUGAACAAGAAGUGGCCGUGAGUUGAAGAUGUUGUUUUAACUUGGCUGUGUGGUGACCUUGUUGUUGGGCGUUGGUUGAUGUUGUUUUUGAUGUUGGUGGUUGUUGUGUUCUUGUUGUUCAUCACAACCUUCAUCUAGUGUUAAAACCGAAAAUACAACACCAAAGAAACUUGGCCAUUUGUUGGUGGUUUUAUUGUUUGUCUUGUUGUUGUGGAAUUGGGCGUUGGAACUUCUUGUUGUUCUUGGUAGAUUGUUGUUGGUUGUUCUUGUUGUGGUUGUUGAGUUCUUGAAGUUCUUCACCAUAUUCAUCACCUUGUUAACAUAAGGUGAACGAUAGAUCCUAAAAGGUGAAGGAAAGAGGUGUAAGUAAUUGUUAGUCUUGAAAGACCCCCAACCACCAAAAGACUUUACAUCACUUCUCAAUUCCACUUUCCCAUGAAACAUGGGUCUAUGUUUUAAGGAGAAGUACAAGUCUAGUCAAAGACUUUUGAGUCUUGAAAUUUGAAUUCCAAAGACUAGUUUGUAUUUUCCUUCAUUGAACAUUUUCCAUCAAAGUCCAAAUUGUAGAAUUGAUCAAGACUUCCAAAUUUGGAAAAUAAAAUUGUUGACCGAGGCAAAUCAAGGGCUGCCAUGUCACAAAUUACUGUUCACUGACAAAUUUUAAGCUCAAAUUUUGAUCUUUUAGUUUCAUUUUGUGUCUUUAGUUUCAUUUGUUGAUUCCCAUACUAACUUACAAACUAGUGACUAAUUACUAGAUUGUGAGUUGGUUUGAAACCGUAUUUUUUUUUAUGUGUGUUUGCGUUCCUUUGUGUGUUUUAUUCUUUUGAGUCGUUGUACACACUUGAUUCACCUCUCAACACCUCUCAGAGUACAAGCAAGCUUACAAAACUUGUGAGAUUGAGUGUGAGGGAUCCGAGAGACAAGAAAUAAAAGAGAGAGUGAGGAUGUUUUUGUACAACUAACGUGUUUUCUGUUUUGUAGGUAACUCCUUUGCCAUAAUGGACACCAUUUUGGCCCACCUUAAUGCUAUUGCCCGAGAAAUAGCUAAGGUGAAUGCGGAUCUUGACAAAUUGGGCUCGGAUAUGUCUACUAUACUUGAGAGGUUGGAUCGAGUGGAGAACCGAAGGAACUCUCAUGUUUCUACUCCCGAAGCUUUACCUCAAACGAUCAACCCUCUAAGAUCACAACUAAAUGACAGAGACAUAAGCCAAGCCAACAAAUGUUCUCAAACCCGAGACCUAAAUGAGUCACUUCCCCCUCAAUUCGAUCAAGUCCAACAAGAGGGACUUGGAAGCCAAUUUCCUCCCAUCCAAGCUCCACAGCCGAAGCUCUCCCUUACCAAAUCAUUCCUCUCAACCGAAACUCUACUUCACCAAAACCAAUAUAUCCAUGUAGAGGUGUAUGGUAGAAAGGAACACGAAGGAUAUGGAGACUACUACAAUACUUUUAUGAUGGUAGGAAACUUGUUUCGGAUAAGAUUGAAGACAGAGCUUAACAUAGAGAGGAAACCGAGGUUCAAAAUGAAGAUGUUGGCCGAGACUUGUUGUUAUUGAGUCCUCGUAUUCUUCAUGAUUUUGUGGACUGUUUUUUUUGACUUAUUUUUUGUGACUUGUUUGUGGAUUGUUUUGAGUAGGUUUCCUUUGAAGUGACCAAUUGAACGAGGUGAAGCCGUGAAUUUGUGGACAAAUUUCUCUCAAGAUGGAGAGGAUGAUACGGGAAUAAUCUCGGAUAUGGACUUAGGAGAGUGCGUGUUGGACCCGAGCCUUGGCAUGUGCAAUUGAAGUGUAAAAAAGGCCCAAAAUGCACCCAAAUCAGCCCAUAAAUUACACUAAAUGGGUGCCCACUCUUUGAAGGGCCUUUUGGUCAUUUUCACUUAUAUUUUGUAAUAGUUAUAAAAGGAACAUUGUAGGGUUUUUAGAUUUAGUUUUUGAUGAUAUUUGUGAAUCUUGAAAGACCAAUUGCUCACCUUGUAUUCUUGCUGUAUUUGUGAAUCCGAGAGAGGUCUCCAAUCGGUCCAAGGAUCUUAGUGAUUUGUGGACUGUUUUGGAGUGUUUGUGGACUGUUUUUGAGUGAUUUCGUGUCUUUCAAGUUUUUAUCAUAUCAGGCUUGGACAAGCCAAAACCAAAAUGAGGGUGAUACUAGUAGUGUUGCAAACUUGUCUAGAAAUGUUGGUGCUUGAGUGGUGGACUCUCUCUCGUGUCAUCGUAAGAGUGUUGGUAUUGCUUUUACAUUAGUUAAGGGUCUUAGUGUUUGAGAUACACUUAGGUUCUUAGUUCUUGUAGGAGUUUAUGUCUCACUACCUAUCUUUAUCUCCUUGUAAUCGUUUGAAGUAAUUGUCUCUUGUUUAGUGAAUCCGUUGGUUUGUUUCCGUUUUGUUGUUGUUGUUGUUCCUUGUCAUCUUGUUGCUCAUCUCUUGUUGUUGCUGUUUUGGUGUGAAAUACACCUUGUUCUUUUGUCACUCUUGUGUUGUUGUUGAUUGGCCGAGACUUGUUCUCAUUUGGUUCUCGAUUUCUAUUGUGUUUUUUGUGUCUUGUUUCCGUAUUGUGGGUUGAUUCCGUUAUUAUUUGGUAUUAGAGCUAAGGUUGAUUUUGUUCCCACAAGAUCAAUCUUGGGCUUGUUUGUUUGGUGUGAAAUACACCUUGUUCUCUCGUCACUCUUGUGUUCUUGUUGUUGAUCGAGACUUGGUAUCAUUUGGUCCUCGAUUUCUGUUGUGUUUUGUAUCUUGUUUCCGUAUUAUGGGUUGAUUUCGUUAUUAUUUGGUAUCAGAGCUAAGGCUGAUUUUGUUCCCACAAGAUCAAUCUUGGGCUUGGUUGUUUGAAAAUUCAAAAAAAAAUAAGGUGUUCUACGUGUUGGUGUUCUUGGUCGAGAAAGUUGUUCUUGGUGUCUCUUUGGCCGAAAAAGUGAGUCUAGAUCUAGGAGUUCUAUUGUGUCUCUUGGUGUUAGUUUUUGUCUUCACUAACACCCUCGAGUCUAGAUCCAAGUUGAGCUUGAAUGUUUGUUGUGGUAUUGUUGUUGCGGAUUCAAGGUUUGGCCGAAGUAUUGUUGGUGUUGGUUUUGCGGAUCCAAAAUUUGGAUGUUUUUGGUGUGUUGUUGUGAAAUCUGAAGUUUAAAGGUGUGUUGGUAUUAUUGUUGUGGAUUUGUGUUUGAAAGAGGUGGUGUAGUUGUUGGGAGGUUCAACUUGAACCUUGGUCUUCAAAUCUUGUUGAAGGUUCUUGGUGUUCUUGGCUAAUCUUCAUGUCUUGUGCCAAGGAGAACCUUCAAUAGUAGUGUUUGAUCUUAAGACCAAGUGGAAGAGUGUCGUCUUUCUUGUUUGUCUUGAAACAAAUCCCAAAACUAUACCAAAGUAGUAAGGGACAAAAGACUUACCAAAAGACUUGUUACCAAAAGGGAGUAAGAGGACUUUUCAAGACUACCCAAAAGAGGAAAGAGCCAACCACCCUUCAAAAGGUGUUUUGCCCAAAAGGUGCAAAGAAAGUCAACCUAUUUUGAAUAUGAAAAAGGCUCCAAAACUCGUGUCUUCCCCUCCAAAACCGAAUUUACUCUUCCACAAAUUGAAAAUUGGACAAAAAUUCAAGUUGGAAAAACAAUAAUUUUUCGAAGUCCGCAACCAAUCCAAGGCCGCCACGUCACUAUUUCCAUACAACACAAAAUCCACAACCAAUCAAGGACUGCCACGUUACCCAAUUUGUACAACUAACUUGUUUGUGUUUUGUAGGUAACUUCUUGGCUACAAUGCAUAACAAUGCUCUUAGUGCGGGAUUGAAACUAUCAACCGAAGCAUCGAAAAGAUGCACGUGCAUAUGUCCUCAAUCAAAGGAAGCAUGUCCUUAACCAAAGGAGACAUGUCUACUAUGGUUGAGAGGUUGGAUCGUAUGGAGAGUCGAAAGAACUCUCGUGCUUCCACUCCUCGACACCAUGUUUCCUCAAGUGAGCAUGACCAAAACACUUCCACCAUUAUUGCCCUCGAAACUUUACCUCAAAUGAUCAAUCCUCUAAGACCACCACAAAAUGCCAUAAGCUAAGCUCCCAAUUACCCUCAAAAUUGAGCCCUAAGUGAUCCACCUCCCCCGCAAUUUGAUCAAGUCCAACAAGGACUUAGAAGCCAAAUGCCUCCACUAAAAUCGGACUCUCCCGUCGAAGCUCCAUAACCGAAGCUUCACUUCACCGAAUCAAUCCUCUCAAUCGAAGCUUCACUUCACCAAAAUUGACACGUCCAUGUAGAGGAAUAUGGUAGAGAGGGACAUGAAGGAUAUGGAGUUAGCAGUGGUGCUUAUAUGAUGGAAAAAGAGUUGAGAGAGAGACGUAGGGAUCAACAAGGAACCCGCCACCAAAAGAAGAGGUAGGAAUUGAAUCGGGUGAGAUUGAAGGCAAAGCUCAAGAUGGAGAGAAAAAGGAAACCGAGGUGCAAAAUGAAGAUGGAGGUGAAGAUGUUGGAUCGCAUGAUAGUGUGUGUGACGUGCCCAAUUGAAAGAGAUGAAGCCAUGAAUUUGUGGUCAAAUUCCUCUCAAGAUGGAGAGGAUGAUACAGGCACGAUCAUGAAGAUGGGCGUACGUGAAUGUGUAUUGAAUUAAGCCAUGGGAGUGUACAAGUUGGAAGUGUGAAGAGGGCUUUGGAACACUCCAAAGCCGCCCCUACAUGCACUCCAAGGGCGCCCUUUUGCUUCCCUUCAUUAAGGGCUUUUCGGACAUUUCACUUCGUUUUGUAAUAAGUCUAUAAAUAGACUAAUGUUUGGUCAUUUUAACUUAGUUGUUGAAUGAUAUAGUAAGACAAACUUUGAU
rnacentral:lncRNA from 1 species